rnacentral:lncRNA from 1 species
CUGGGCUUUCCUUAAAUACAUCUGGUAAAUCAUUUAUAAAAAUCUUGAAAAGGUUUGGACUUAAAACAUCCCCUUGCUUUACUCCAAUUUGAGAAUAAAAAUUAGGAGUAAGCACAUCACCUAUUUUAACACAUAAUUCACUUUUAUUGUACAUGUCUCUCAGGAUUGCAUAAAAGUUACCACCUAUAUUAUAUUUUAAUAGCU